AUGAACGCUAGCUACAGGCUUAACCCAUGCAAGUCGAGGGGAAACGGCAUUGAGUGCUUGCACUCUUUGGACGUCGACCGGCGCACGGGUGAGUAACGCGUAUCCAACCUUCCCAUUACUGUGGGAUAACCUGCCGAAAGGCAGACUAAUACCGCAUAGUCUUCGAUGACGGCAUCAGAUUUGAAGUAAAGAUUUAUCGGUAAUGGAUGGGGAUGCGUCUGAUUAGCUUGUUGGCGGGGUAACGGCCCACCAAGGCUACGAUCAGUAGGGGUUCUAAGAGGAAGGUCCCCCACAUUGGAACUGAGACACGGUCCAAACUCCUACGGGAGGCAGCAGUGAGGAAUAUUGGUCAAUGGACGGAAGUCUGAACCAGCCAAGUAGCGUGCAGGAUGACGGCCCUAUGGGUUGUAAACUGCUUUUGUAUGGGGAUAAAGUUAGGGACGUGUCCCUAUUUGCAGGUACCAUACGAAUAAGGACCGGCUAAUUCCGUG
rnacentral:rRNA from 1 species